CCUGAUGCAGCAACGCCGCGUGAGGGAUGACGGCCUUCGGGUUGUAAACCUCUUUUAGUAGGGAAGAAGCGAAAGUGACGGUACCUGCAGAAAAAGCACCGGCUAACUACGUGCCAGCAGCCGCGGUAAUACGUAGGGUGCAAGCGUUGUCCGGAAUUAUUGGGCGUAAAGAGCUCGUAGGCGGUUUGUCGCGUCUGCUGUGAAAUCUGGGGGCUCAACCCCCAGCCUGCAGUGGGUACGGGCAGACUAGAGUGCGGUAGGGGAGAUUGGAAUUCCUGGUGUAGCGGUGGAAUGCGCAGAUAUCAGGAGGAACACCGAUGGCGAAGGCAGAUCUCUGGGCCGUAACUGACGCUGAGGAGCGAAAGCAUGGGGAGCGAACAGGAUUAGAUACCCUGGUAGUCCAUGCCGUAAACGUUGGGAACUAGAUGUGGGGACCAUUCCACGGUCUCCGUGUCGCAGCUAACGCAUUAAGUUCCCCGCCUGGGGAGUACGGCCGCAAGGCUAAAACUCAAAGGAAUUGACGGGGGCCCGCACAAGCGGCGGAGCAUGCGGAUUAAUUCGAUGCAACGCGAAGAACCUUACCAAGACUUGACAUAUACGAGAACGCUGCAGAAAUGUAGAACUCUUUGGACA
rnacentral:rRNA from 1 species